CUGCCUACGGGGGGCAGCAGUAGGGAAUCUUCCACAAUGGACGCAAGUCUGACCCAGCAACGCCGCGUGAAGGAAGAAGGCUUUCGGGUUGUAAACUUCUUUUAAGGGGGAAGAGCAGAAGACGGUACCCCUUGAAUAAGCCACGGCUAACUACGUGCCAGCAGCCGCGGUAAUACGUAGGUGGCAAGCGUUGUCCGGAUUUACUGGGUGUAAAGGGCGUGCAGCCGGAGAGACAAGUCAGAUGUGAAAUCCACAGGCUCAACCUGUGAACUGCAUUUGAAACUGUUUCCCUUGAGUAUCGGAGA
rnacentral:rRNA from 1 species